GGGGGUGUAGCUCAGGGGUUAGAGCACUCGGCUCAUAACCGAUUGGUCGCUGGUUCAAUUCCAGCCACCCCCACCA
rnacentral:tRNA from 1 species